rnacentral:lncRNA from 1 species
AAACACAGUGUGCUUGUAAAAAUAUAGGGUUCAUAAAAUGCGCACAUUGUCAAAAAAUAUUAUGUUUUUAAGAAACGAAAAUCAUACACUGCCAAGAAUUAAUAGGUGAAUUAUAAAACACGUAUUAAUCCUUAUACGUAUAAAAUUCACGUAUAAAACACACACUGUACAACAUACACGAGUCAAAAAGAAGAACUACAUUGGAUCGUAACCCAAGCCGUAAACCAUGGAUAUAAUAAACAUACAAUUCUAAGCUUAUGGAAUAGAAUAACCAAGCGGAUAAAUAAGAAACCAAAAACUGCAGAUAUCAAUCCUAUAAACUUUCUAAAUCUGGAAAUCAACCCGGUUACUAUGCGGUAUAAAAACAAAAUUGAAAAAUAUACACAAUCACAGGUUAACAGAAGGAAUACGUUAUUUAAUAUAUUGCGGAAUGACAAGGAUAAGAAGAACCCCUUACAAAGACCUGGCGUAUAUGAAAUACCAGUGAGAGAUGACAUGUUAAACCAACAGAUUAAAUAUAUAGGCUAUACUUCAAGAUCCCUCGCUAAACGGUUAGAGGAACACAA